GACGAACGCUGGCGGCGUGCUUAACACAUGCAAGUCGAACGGAAAGGCCCUGCUUUUGUGGGGUGCUCGAGUGGCGAACGGGUGAGUAACACGUGAGUAACCUGCCCUUGACUUUGGGAUAACUUCAGGAAACUGGGGCUAAUACCGGAUAGGAGCUCCUGCUGCAUGGUGGGGGUUGGAAAGUUUCGGCGGUUGGGGAUGGACUCGCGGCUUAUCAGCUUGUUGGUGGGGUAGUGGCUUACCAAGGCUUUGACGGGUAGCCGGCCUGAGAGGGUGACCGGCCACAUUGGGACUGAGGUACGGCCCAGACUCCUACGGGAGGCAGCAGUGGGGAAUAGUGCAAGAUGGGCGGAAGCCUGAUGCAGCAACGCCGCGUGCGGGAUGACGGCCUGCGGGGUGGAAACCGCUUUAGCCUGUGACGAAGCGUGAGUGACGGUAAUGGGUAAAGAAGCACCGGCUAACUACGUG
rnacentral:rRNA from 1 species